UACGAAGGGGGCUAGCGUUGUUCGGAAUUACUGGGCGUAAAGCGCGCGCAGGCGGCUAUCCAAGUCAGUGGUGAAAGCCCGGAGCUCAACUCCGGAACUGCCAUUGAAACUGUUUAGCUUGAGGACGAGAGAGGUGAGUGGAAUUCCCAGUGUAGAGGUGAAAUUCGUAGAUAUUGGGAAGAACACCGGUGGCGAAGGCGGCUCACUGGCUCGUAUCUGACGCUCAGGCGCGAUAGCGUGGGGAUCAAACAGG
rnacentral:rRNA from 1 species